GUAGCGGGCCAGACGGCCGUAACAUAUGGCGAGAGAACCAACUUGUUUUCGUCUACAGAUUUGUUCGAGAAAAAAAAACGGACCAAAAAUUCUGAAUGCUGUAACAGGUGAAGGGGGGAUAAAACGAUGUAUUCGUAAACUCUAGUUACCCGAUUUUUUUCCCCCCUCCACACAGUCGAAUGACGUGUAAUCGUGCCGAUGCUCGUGUAUCGAAACAAGCUGAUUUUUACGUGUGUGUGUGUGUGUGCGCGCGCAGUUUUCCCUUCGCCGUGUAAACAUCGGGGUUUCUGUUUAAUAUUGCAGCACACGCCAGAUUUUUUUUCAAGGCCUGGCACCUGGAUUUGGUGUGCAAUUUUUCAAUUUCUUCCUUCAUAUCUCCGAUGUUAAUUGACUGUGGUGUGUUAGAUUAGCCCAGGCUUUACGCCCUAGGGCGACGUCUUGGAUGACUUUGAUUUCAUCGUACGGACUGGGGGAGGCUGCUGUUUCAAGUUACAACCUCUCAAAGGUCCACAUGUGGAGACAAGGUUCCUGAUUGCAGGCAUCCCCUCAUUGCAAGUACUACCUGACUGCAGGUACUGCCUGACUGAAGGUACUUACCUGAAAGCAGGUACUGCCUGACUGCAGGUACUGCCUGAUUGAAGAUAUUUCCUAACUGCAGUACGUGCCACUACUGUGAUUCACCUAACUGCAGGCAUCCCGUGACUGCAGGCACUGACCUGAUUGCAGGCAACCCCCUGUCUGCAGGCACUAAUCUCCCUGACCUUGACACCGGAUGUCACCUGUGUUCAGCUCGCCAGGUGACCACCUGUUCAUGCUGUUGGUCAGGAUCUACACCAAAUUCCGGCGACUUCACGUCCAGGGGGAGAUUAACUGGACCGGAUUAUCCCACUGUUGCACGGACUUCUAAUCCAUCAGUCACUGAGUCCAAUUGUUCUCCGCACAGAAAGUAAAGAUCGCAUCAAGAAUGACUUGAGGGCAAUGCGGCUGUACGCUUCCUCAGCCCGUCCCUAAUGCAGGAGGUGGACUCCCCCGGGCACCGCCCUGGCCCGACCCCGGCUGUCACCACGGCCACCCCUCCCCCACCUCCCCCCACCCCCACGUCCUCCA